GUACACUCCUGCGGGAGGCAGCAGUGGGGAAUUUUGGACAAUGGGCGAAAGCCUGAUCCAGCAAUGCCGCGUGAGUGAAGAAGGCCUUCGGGUUGUAAAGCUCUUUUGUCAGGGAAGAAACGGUGAAAGCUAAUAUCUUUUGCUAAUGACGGUACCUGAAGAAUAAGCACCGGCUAACUACGUGCCAGCAGCCGCGGUAAUACGUAGGGUGCAAGCGUUAAUCGGAAUUACUGGGCGUAAAGCGUGCGCAGGCGGUUUUGUAAGUCUGAUGUGAAAUCCCCGGGCUCAACCUGGGAAUUGCAUUGGAGACUGCAAGGCUAGAAUCUGGCAGAUGGGGGUAGAAUUCCACGUGUAGCAGUGAAAUGCGUAGAUAUGUGGAGGAACACCGAUGGCGAAGGCAGCCCCCUGGGUCAAGAUUGACGCUCAUGCACGAAAGCGUGGGGAGCAAACAGGAUUAGAAACCCCAGUAGUCCC
rnacentral:rRNA from 1 species